ACCUCCAAUCAAGCAAGAGGACCCGCUGAAUUUAAGCAUAUAAUUAAGCGGAGGAAAAGAAACUAACAAGGAUUCCCCUAGUAACGGCGAGUGAAGCGGGAAGAGCUCAAAUUUGAAAUCUGGUAGCCUUCGGUUGCCCGAGUUGUAAUCUAGAGAAAUGUUUUCCGUGCCGGCCCAUGUACAAGUCCCUUGGAACAGGGCGUCAUAGAGGGUGAGAAUCCCGUCCUUGACAUGGACCCCCGGUGCUUUGUGAUACAUUUUCAACGAGUCGAGUUGUUUGGGAAUGCAGCUCAAAAUGGGUGGUGAAUUCCAUCUAAAGCUAAAUAUUGGCGAGAGACCGAUAGCGAACAAGUACCGUGAGGGAAAGAUGAAAAGCACUUUGGAAAGAGAGUUAAACAGUACUUGAAAUU
rnacentral:rRNA from 12 species